rnacentral:tRNA from 1 species
GGGGAUAUAGCUCAGUUAGCAGAGUGCUUGCCUUAUAUGCACAAGGCCCUGGCUUCAAUUCCUAGUGUCCCCC